rnacentral:pre_miRNA from 1 species
AAGGAAUAGGUGACAGAAGAGAGUGAGCACACAUGGUCUGUUCUUGCAUGGGUCCAUGCUUGAAGCUCUGCGUGCUCACUCUCUAUCUGUCAUCUGUCCUCUCU